rnacentral:rRNA from 1 species
AUUGAACGCUGGCGGCAGGCUUAACACAUGCAAGUCGAGCGGAGAUGAGGUGCUUGCACCUUAUCUUAGCGGCGGACGGGUGAGUAAUGCUUAGGAAUCUGCCUAUUAGUGGGGGACAACAUUCCGAAAGGAAUGCUAAUACCGCAUACGUCCUACGGGAGAAAGCAGGGGAUCUUCGGACCUUGCGCUAAUAGAUGAGCCUAAGUCGGAUUAGCUAGUUGGUGGGGUAAAGGCCUACCAAGGCGACGAUCUGUAGUGGGUCUGAGAGGAUGAUCCGCCACACUGGGACUGAGACACGGCCCAGACUCCUACGGGAGGCAGCAGUGGGGAAUAUUGGACAAUGGGGGGAACCCUGAUCCAGCCAUGCCGCGUGUGUGAAGAAGGCCUUAUGGUUGUAAAGCACUUUAAGCGAGGAGGAGGCUACUGAGACUAAUACUCUUGGAUAGUGGACGUUACUCGCAGAAUAAGCACCGGCUAACUCUGUGCCAGCCGCCGCAGUAACAC